rnacentral:misc_RNA from 1 species
UCUCUCUCUCUCUCUCUCUCUCUCUCUCUCUCUCUCUCUCUCCAAGUUGGCAAGCACGGCUGAAGAUAUUGGGUAGGGCUAGCUACUCUUAUAGUGUCCUGCAGUGCAGGAAGAAGGAAAGAGACCAGGGUAGGGGAAGGCAGGCAAGAGUUAUUACAGGGAGGACAAACAAAACAAGAGCAAGAAAAGAAAGAGAGCUUGCUAAAGAAAAGAAGAAGAAAAAAAAGAAGAAAUGCAGGUGCGUGACUGUGAAAUCGCUAGUGACCUCUGCUGUCUGCUCCCUCGGUAAGCCUCUAACUCCAACCUCGUGUUCUAUGCCGGGAACUCGGAAUGAACAGAACAGCUAGCUAGCCCAGCCAGGCCGCCCAAAAGAGGAAGCACGGAAGAGGCGGAAAGCAAACAAAACAAGCAAAACGGCUGCCGUGCGCGACUGGGCUUGUGGUGGAGCUCGCUCGUGAACCACGCGCGCUCGCCAACGCGCAGCAGCAGUAGUGGCGAAGUGUGAGCAGGCAGCCCGUUGGUCGGUAGUGGAGACGGACAAGGAAGAAGACGAUGGGGGAGCAGGGCUCGGGGCGCUGGGUGCGGGCGCGGCAGGGGGUUGGGUUGGGGUGGUCGAUGAUUCAUUCAUGAGGGCAUGUAUAGCUGCUGCUGCUGCUGUCCAGCUACUAUCAUCACGCACGCAGGGCCGCUGCUGGUGAUUGUGGUGGUCAUAGGCUCAUAGCCGCAC